AAAAAUAUGAAAAAUCAGGGAGCGCUGGAUGGAACUCAUUAAUUGACAUGGACACAUCUAAUGGUCCAGAAGCGCGUGCGUACCAUGGUCCCCAGUCAAAUGCAUCACACCAUGAAUUAAAAAAAGUCAUAAGAAACAAAGGCCGGGAUUAGAUCGUGCAUGUGAGAUCCAAUGGACACAAGGCAUCCACGUGGGGACAGUGGUGGAAAC
rnacentral:lncRNA from 1 species